AACUUGUGCCUUGGAGGAUAGCUCAAUCUUUCAUGGAUAGAUUGGACUUCUUCAUGCUCAUCGGAAUCCUCGAAUGCCUAAUGGUGUCCUGCUGAUUGAUAUUCCAAUCGCUCAUGCACUGAUCGGCACUAUCUCUUAGACUCACAAUAGCCUUGAUACUGGGAACUGCACUCUGGGCAAUCAAAAGCCGAUGGCAACCUCAGUUUCUCAUUCCAACAAUACUGGAAGAAAGGACAGUUCUAAUGUGACUCAAACUUGCUUCUGUUGUCCUCCUCCUAUCUUCAUGACCCUCCCAUCUAAGUUGUUAUUUGUUGAUCAGCAUCUUGGAAGUCACCUUUGGUUUUCUGACAGAUCGGCUGGCUUUAGCUUCCUCAACUUGUUGAGCCCAGCUCACUUUCUUCUCGAAUUCCUCACUUUCUUCUUGUAAUAGUAGGUGAAAGAUCUUAUCGGCUUUGGUGAUGUCAAAAUUGUAUGUUUCUGUAUAAAUGGGCAUGAGAUCGGCUUCUUACUCUUAACCCACUCUGCAAGACUGACCUCUUCAUCUGCAUCGGAGUCUUCAUCAGAUGAAUCAUGUGCAUUGAAAUUGGAGACUCCAUACUUAUUCAUGUGUGAACUCUGGAAUCGGCUCUCAUAAAUCAAAACCUUAUGCACCAGAUGUGCUAGACUCAGUCAAGUAUAUGUUAUAGCACUUGUUGCACACUUCUCUAAACCUCUGGACAAAUGCAUCUACUAGCUCUCCAUUUCUCUGCUUCAUCAUUAUGAGAUCUGUCAACUUCAUCUCCUGGCCUUCUACAUAGUAAUCCUUGUGAAAUAAUCUUUCCAAAUAUUCUCAAUUAUUGAUGGAAUUGGGUGCCAAUGUAGAAAGCCAUGUGAAGGCAGGUCCUAUCAGUUACAACGGAAACAUGCGCACCUUGAGUGCAUCUAUUGAAGUUGCUUCUCCACAC
rnacentral:lncRNA from 1 species